UGUAUGCUUGUGGUCAAAGAGAACAGCUGUACCCUAUCUGGGAGGUUGAUUGGAGGACUCGCUAAGAGCUCUGAGCAGCCUUAGCCACACUCUUCACAGAUAGACAGGGAGGCACAAAGUCAUAACACGUUUUAUGGAAAAACCCAUGAAAACUUCAAGCCUUCUGUAACACCAAUUAUGAAUAAUUUAAAUCAUUCAUAUUGUAUUAGAAAAUGUCAGUGGCUAUGAGCUAAUUCGUUUCAAAUGUAUUUUAUUUGCAUAAAAUUGGCAUUUUAGAAAGUGAAUUUAUUGCUCACAAUCAUCUCUUCCAAUGUGAGAUUAUUGCCAUAUUAGUAGUAAAUGUGCUCUGACUGAAUCUAUAUCAUUUAAUCAAAUAUUCCUAGAUUGAAAUCCUAAUCAUGUCUUAUAAGAUUAAAUAAAAAGACCCAGAGGAUGUUUUUGCAAGGCCUCAACCAAGGAGGACGAACUGGUGACUUAAUAGGAACAUUUACUGCUUUGACUGCCUGGAGUGUGAAACCACCUAUGUUUGAGGAGUCCCUCAUUUCACACAUCAUAGCAGGAGGCAGAAUCCUGCUUGAGAAGGUGGCCGGGUAGCAAACUGAAAAGGCCAGAUCCUUUCCCCGUCUCCUUUGCAGCUAGCGUGGCAUUGUGAUCUAGGCUCAGCCAAUCAGACACACCUUCCCCAGCCCCCAUUGAGGCUUUGAAUCACUGCUAAGGAAGCACAGAGUGGGCAGAGGAGAAGCCGUUCUGGCAGCACAGGUGACGGUAGAAGCAACUCCAGGUCUGAUGCCAGCGGCAGAGAGAGGGCAAGCUGGCAUCCGGUGUUCUUCGGUUGUAGAAGACGUGUCACUGUAAUACAAGUGCGUUUAUAGACCUCUUGCCAAUGAAGAUAAACUGCAUCCAGUGUGCUGUAUGGCCCUGCUGCUGCUGCUGCUGCUAAAUCGCUUCAGUCAUGUCCGACUCUGUGCGACCCCAUAGACGGCAGCCCCACCAGGCUCCUCUGUCUCUGGGAUUCUCCAGGCAAGAAUACUGGAGUGGGUUGCCAUUUCCUUCUCCAGUGCAAAGUGGAAGUGAAGUUGCUCGGUCGUGUCCGACCCUCAGCGACCCCAUGGACUGCAGCCUUCCAGGCUCCUCCAUCCAUGGGAUUUUCCAGGCAAGAGUACUGGAGUGGGAUGCCAUCGCCUUCUCUGAUCUUGGGCCCAGAGGUCCUGAAUCUAAUCCUUAUUUUGCAACUAAAUAAAACUCAGUGCCUUAAUGUUAAGCCAUCUCUGCUCCUUCCCUCUGUGAACUUGUGAUUUGUUUUCAUUUCCAACUUCCAAUAAGAGGAAUCAAAGUUCAUCAAGUUCUUUGGAAAUUAAGCUCAAAUGAGUCUUAUACCUUCUACUCCCCACUCCAAACCAAAGUAGAAGUUUUCAUGAUCACCGUUAGCAGCAGCAGCACUCACAUGAUCACUAUCCUGAUGUACGGUUGUUACUUGUGAUAUUGAUUAACUUCAUAUAUGGCAGAAAUAGCAUAUGAUAUAUUUUUGGCUAUUUCCGGCUCAGGAAUCCAGGAAUUGUAACAUUCCAACACACCAAGGGACAUCGGGAAGUCAUCUACCCCACCCUCUGCUUUUCAGAGAUGUUCAAACCAUAUGGAAAUACUUUAUUUUCAAGCAAAAUAUUUGUACGUGUGUGAUGAGAUGGCUAGUGAAAGGAAAAUAGACACCAACAGGAAGUUAAAAUGAAAUGCUUCAUUUUUUUCCAUAGGGUUUUAGUUAGCAAUAAAAGACCUUCAGUGCUGUGGGAGAAAGGCCAUCAUGGGUAGUUUUGUGAACUCAGUGAUAAGCUCACCAUU
ensembl:lncRNA